AGAGUUUGAUCAUGGCUCAGAUUGAACGCUGGCGGCAGGCCUAACACAUGCAAGUCGAACGGUAACAUUUCUAGCUUGCUAGAAGAUGACGAGUGGCGGACGGGUGAGUAAUGCUUGGGAACUUGCCUUUGCGAGGGGGAUAACAGUUGGAAACGACUGCUAAUACCGCAUAAUGUCUUCGGACCAAACGGGGCUUCGGCUCCGGCGCAAAGAGAGGCCCAAGUGAGAUUAGCUAGUUGGUAAGGUAAAGGCUUACCAAGGCGACGAUCUCUAGCUGUUCUGAGAGGAAGAUCAGCCACACUGGGACUGAGACACGGCCCAGACUCCUACGGGAGGCAGCAGUGGGGAAUAUUGCACAAUGGGGGAAACCCUGAUGCAGCCAUGCCGCGUGUGUGAAGAAGGCCUUCGGGUUGUAAAGCACUUUCAGUUGUGAGGAAAAGUUAGUAGUUAAUACCUGCUAGCCGUGACGUUAACAACAGAAGAAGCACCGGCUAACUCCGUGCCAGCAGCCGCGGUAAUACGGAGGGUGCGAGCGUUAAUCGGAAUUACUGGGCGUAAAGCGCACGCAGGCGGUUUGUUAAGCUAGAUGUGAAAGCCCCGGGCUCAACCUGGGAUGGUCAUUUAGAACUGGCAGACUAGAGUCUUGGAGAGGGGAGUGGAAUUCCAGGUGUAGCGGUGAAAUGCGUAGAUAUCUGGAGGAACAUCAGUGGCGAAGGCGACUCCCUGGCCAAAGACUGACGCUCAUGUGCGAAAGUGUGGGUAGCGAACAGGAUUAGAUACCCUGGUAGUCCAUGCUGUAAACGAUGUCAACUAGCCGUUGGAUUCCCUUGAGGAGUUUAGUGGCGGAGCUAACGCGAUAAGUUGACCGCCU
rnacentral:rRNA from 1 species